GAUGAACGCUGGCGGCGUGCCUAAUACAUGCAAGUCGAGCGAACAGAUAAGGAGCUUCCUCCUUUGACGUUAGCGGCGGACGGGUGAGUAACACGUGGGUAACCUACCUAUAAGACUGGAAUAACUCCGGGAAACCGGGGCUAAUGCCGGAUAACAUUUAGAACCGCAUGGUUCUAAAGUGAAAGAUGGUUUUGCUAUCACUUAUAGAUGGACCCGCGCCGUAUUAGCUAGUUGGUAAGGUAACGGCUUACCAAGGCAACGAUACGUAGCCGACCUGAGAGGGUGAUCGGCCACACUGGAACUGAGACACGGUCCAGACUCCUACGGGAGGCAGCAGUAGGGAAUCUUCCGCAAUGGGCGAAAGCCUGACGGAGCAACGCCGCGUGAGUGAUGAAGGUCUUCGGAUCGUAAAACUCUGUUAUUAGGGAAGAACAAAUGUGUAAGUAACUGUGCACGUCUUGACGGUACCUAAUCAGAAAGCCACGGCUAACUACGUG
rnacentral:rRNA from 1 species